rnacentral:tRNA from 1 species
GGGCGGAUGGUUUAGGGGUAUAAUGCUCGCUUCGCAUGCGAGAGGUCCGGGGUUCGAUUCCCCGUUCGUCCA